CAGCAGCCGCGGUAAUACGUAGGGGGCGAGCGUUGUCCGGAUUUAUUGGGCGUAAAGAGCUCGUAGGCCGUUCGGUAAGUCAGAUGUGAAAACUCCAGGCUCAACUUGGAGACGCCAUCUGAUACUGCCGUGACUAGAGUCCGGUAGGGGAGCACGGAAUUCCUGGUGUAGCGGUGAAAUGCGCAGAUAUCAGGAGGAACACCAGCGGCGAAGGCGGUGCUCUGGGCCGGAACUGACGCUGAGGAGCGAAAGCGUGGGUAGCGAACAGGAUUAGAUACCCUGGUAGUCCACGCCGUAAACGUUGGGCACUAGGUGUGGGGACUUAUCAACGGUUUCCAUGCCGUCGCUAACGCAUUAAGUGCCCCGCCUGGGGAGUACGGCCGCAAGGCUAAAACUCAAAGGAAUUGACGGGGGCCCGCACAAGCGGCGGAGCAUGUUGCUUAAUUCGAGGCAACGCGAAGAACCUUACCUGGGUUUGACAUGUAGAGAAAAGCCGUAGAGAUGCGGUGUCCUUCGGGGUUCUACACAGGUGGUGCAUGGCC
rnacentral:rRNA from 1 species